UAGUCCACACCGUAAACGAUGAAUGCCAGUCGUCGGGCAGUAUACUGUUCGGCGACACACCUAACGGAUUAAGCAUUCCGCCUGGGGAGUACGGUCGCAAGAUUAAAACUCAAAGGAAUUGACGGGGGCCUGCACAAGCGGUGGAGCAUGUGGUUUAAUUCGACGCAACGCGCAGAACCUUACCAGCUUUUGACAUCCUGGUCGCGGAUUUGGGAGACCAUUUCCUUCAGUUCGGCUGGACCAGUGACAGGUGCUGCAUGGCUGUCGUCAGCUCGUGUCGUGAGAUGUUGGGUUAAGUCCCGCAACGAGCGCAACCCUCAUCCUUAGUUGCCAGCAUUUAGUUGGGCACCCUAGAGAAACCUGCCGGUGACAAACCGGAGGAACGGUAAGGAUGACGUCAAGUCAGCAUGCCCCUUACGCUCUGGGCUACACACGUGCUACAAUGGUCGUGACAAAGNGUUGCUAGUCUGCGAAGGCAAGCCAAUCUCAUAAACGCGGU
rnacentral:rRNA from 1 species